GGGCCGCAACUCCAUGGGAUGGUUACAAGCCCAAUUCAUCCCCCGGCAAAGGCCGAGCUCGCGAAGACCCCGGCCCCCAGGAACAAAGGGGUGGGGGUGGGGACUGUGUUGUCUCACCGGUGUCUCACCGACUGAGAGGACGGGAACGGGGGCAGUGGCGGCCCCUCCUGCCUGUGUCCGAACCCAAAGAGCCCCGUGAGCGCGACGCGCAUCGCCCCGCGCGGGGCUUUGCGAACAAAAGCCUGCGCGCUUCGGCCAAGCGGAGCAGGAAAGGAAUGCCCCGGGCGAGGCGGCCGCGCUUCUGGAACCUUCCGGCGGGAGCCUCCGCCGGGAACGCCCCGAGCAGGCCCGCGGCAACUCCCCGGGGACCAGGCCGGCCAGGUGCAGGAGCACCGAGAUCCGGAACCUCGCUCCCCACACAGCGGGGCCCGGGCCGGCCAAUCCCCGCCGUGGAUGAUGGGGAAAGGCGAUUCUACGGCCCCGGCGUGAGACAGGCCGACAGGCCGCCGGGCAGCGGAAACUCCCGGGCGGGGAAGGGAACCCGGAGACCCAGAGAGAAAGAGGAGACCGGAGAGAGCUGGAGCAGAGGAAGCCAGAACGCGCGAGGGGGUGGCCGGGCCCAGACCGGAGUGCGGGGAGAUACGCUCAGAGUUUUGGGUGAAAGUGAUCCAAGAUUGCAGCAAGACCUGGUGUAAAGGAAUGACCAGAAUAAGAAAAUAUAAGGCUUUCUCUUACCCGCAUUGUGAUAUCCAGUAUAUGUUCCACAGCUAAUCUGUUUCCAGAACUCCCAGUGAAUUCAACGAGUAACAGCCUGCACAGAAAGAGUGUGGAAUAGAGAUCCAUAUUGAAGACAAAAUAGGAAUUGCCAGCCAGACCAGAUCAGAUCCAUGGUCCAUCUAGGUCAGUAUUGUCUCCAUCAGCAGCCAGAACUGGAUGCUUCAAAGAAAGCUGCAGGAAAACUCCCUAGUGAACAAUUAUGGAAUAAUCUUCCCCAAAGAAAGUUUCUUUCUAACUCACAGAAGUUAGUAAUUGGCUUAUGACCUGAAGCAUCAGAGUUUAUAUUCCUUUUAAAAACAGGUUUUUUUCCAUAUCUGAUUGAUGUAUCUGUGUAUGUUUUCAUUAUCUGAAUAAAUGUCUGAUCAUGGCUAGCCUACAUCAUAUCCCAUGGCAGUGAAUUCUACGGGUAACUUGUGUCUUGUGUAAAGUAAUUUCCUUGUAUUGGUUUUAAAUGUGUUGCCUUUCAAUGUCACUGAAUGUUUCCUUGUUCUAGUGUUAUGAAAGGGUAAAUAAGAGCUCCUCUCCUCUUUAUGGUGCUUUUUCUCGACCUUUCAAUUUUAUGUACAGCUCUGUUGAGGAGAGACAAACCGAGUACUAUGUUUAUGAUUUGGAUUGUAAAUUCCUGCCAUGUAUCGUUAGUAUAAACAUGGUUCAUUAUUCAAAUGGAUGCCCUUGAAUAUUUCCACUACAGUAACCAAUGUGGUUUCCUUUCAUUCUACACCAACUAACUUUUUCCAUCAUUUUAGUCUGUACUGCAUCUCGUUUCUUAUGCUCCUCUGUACCCAACAGCUUUCUCUGACUGCUACCACUCUUGGUUCCACGCUUUCUUUCAUGCGGCCUCUAUGCUCAGCACACUGACACUUUUAGUGUACCAUGAACCUUUUAAUACCCACUCCUCUGUCUCCAAACCUUCCUGGACUUGACCCAUUGCCCAGCUUAUGGCUGAGCUUGAGCCUAAACCUACUGAGUGCCAAGUAUCUUCUGCAAACUGCUGAGCCCCCUCAGCUCUGGUUGAAGUAUGUGGGAGUUGAGAGUGUUCAGCAAUUUGCAGGAUCAAGUCUUCAGAUGGCUAGCGCUUGUGGGCAGGGAGCUUGACCCAAAGGAACUGCUGGCACAACUCCUUUGAAGUCAAUGGAGUUACACCAGGGAUGAAUUUCUCCCGGUGCCUCUUUCUGGUUUUGUAAAGGCCAUUGCACACUUACUACUCUGUAAAUAAGAAACAUCUUUAAGGCUAAAAAAAACCCCAAACCAAACCUAGGCUUGUAGAACAUGGUUAGGUGCCCUUUCACACCCUAUUUGCUUUCCAGCCACCCACCUACAUGAGUUUUUCAGUGCUUAGUACAUUCUGUACACUUCCUUUUUAACCAUGGCCUGACACUUACUGAGUCAUUCUCACUGUGCACUGGGGAUGGGAGGGGGCAUUUCCUGCAGCUGACAGGCAAAAGUGUUCCUCAAGGGGAUUUGCCUAACUUGGGUGUUUCAAGGGACUGCCCAUGUUCACUGUGCAGGACUGUGGGCUGCAAAAAGACCAUUCUAAAGGAUUCAGGCAAAAAAAGAGAACAACCGUCAAGUAUAUUUUCCUUUGUAAUUCCCUUUCGCCUAUGCUCUUCCUGAAUUUAAUGCUGUUAUCUUGGAAGAGGAUUUUCCUGCUCAGCUGCCAUAACAAACAAGGGAUCCACUUGCAAUCUGCCUUGGGUUAUUGUAGAUGUUAAGCUCAUUUGGAUCCCUAUUGCUUAUGACUUGCUUUGAACAAGGAUAUGUUUGUGGGCGGUGAGGCUAGCAAAUCAGAAGGGAAACUAUUUAUUCGGAACUAAUUUAUUCUGGUGAAACUAACUGAGGAGGAGUGGGGAUGUUUGGAGAAGUGAGACUUUUACUUCUGGCCAAGAAGAUGGUGCAGCUGUGAAAGGAGGAAAACCAGUGACAUGGACAGCCAGGCUGCACAAUAUUUUAAACUCUGUUCUGUUGAAAUGCGUCUGCUCAUUAGAAGUAACCCACGGAGCUUACUACUAUUAUUAUCACCAAUUACUGUUUCCUAUCAAAGGGAACUGGAUGAGAGAAGUUAGAGUGUCUUGUUGUUUGCUUUGUUAGUCCCCAUUUGUGGAGACAUCAGAAUACAUGGCAGCAGUAAAAAAUGAGGAGCAUUCCCUAGUCCAGCUACUGCUGAUGUAUCAGGCCCUGAAGAAGCUGGAUAUUCUGCAUGUGAUGCGUGGAGAUGAGCUUGCUGACUACCACUCCCUCAAAAGUACAGGCUGUGGGGACAGGCCAGACAGUCACCUUUUGAAGACAUGAGGAGAAUGGAGAUGUCACAGGCUGCGCCCCUUUGUUAUCCUAGACCAAUGAUUCUCAGCCUUUCCAGACUGCCGUAUCCCUUUCAGGAGCCUGAUUUGUCUUGCAUACCCCAAGUUUUGCCUCACUUAAAAACUACUUGCUUACAAAAUCAGACAUAAAAAUACAGAAGUG